rnacentral:ncRNA from 1 species
UAACUUGUGAUGAAAUAGAUAGUAGUAAGAUGUAUCCCUUUUUUAGAGAGCUACUAGUGCUGGGAGGUAGCAUAAAUACAUGUUAUGAAGUACACUAUGGAGCAAAAAACGGGUCAUUCCGAUAUCGAUGACGAAGGUGGCUACUCACUUUUAGGGUAGCAAUCUGGGUGGUAACGCGGAAUCAAUUCGUCCCUGAU